CACUUCCAAACGAUACCCCUGCCAUUAACAGCCGGAUUCCUCCAGCGGCUCUCCCUCUCACUGAUACCAGCCCAGAGACAGAAAUACCACCACUGGCCCCAGAGGUGAAUCUGUUCCCUGCGUGCCAGACUGUGGCGCUCUGAGAAAUACCAGCCUUGCGAAUGUGCGGCCCGGGCUACAGGCAGACCAGGAAGAGGGCAGUUUGGGGUGAUCCCUGCAGAGUGGGGUAAUCCUUCUUUCCACUUAAUAUCCCCCGCAAAGGCUUUUCCUAGGAUUAACCAUUCGGCUCAGUUUGCGCAUAGUCGUUGUAUGACUGGAUUCCUGCAUGCAACUGCUGCUGCUUGGACUGAAAGAAGUGCUUCCUGGGUUUCCUUCUUGCCAUUGGCAUCUUGGUGA
rnacentral:lncRNA from 1 species